AUUGAACGCUGGCGGCAUGCUUUACACAUGCAAGUCGAACGGUAACAGGCCGCAAGGUGCUGACGAGUGGCGAACGGGUGAGUAAUGCAUCGGAACGUGCCCAGUCGUGGGGGAUAACGCAGCGAAAGCUGCGCUAAUACCGCAUACGAUCUAUGGAUGAAAGCGGGGGACCGUAAGGCCUCGCGCGAUUGGAGCGGCCGAUGUCAGAUUAGGUAGUUGGUGGGGUAAAGGCUCACCAAGCCAACGAUCUGUAGCUGGUCUGAGAGGACGACCAGCCACACUGGGACUGAGACACGGCCCAGACUCCGACGGGAGGCAGCAGGGGGGAAUUUUGGACAAUGGGCGCAAGCCUGAUCCAGCAAUGCCGCGUGCAGGAAGAAGGCCUUCGGGUUGUAAACUGCUUUUGUACGGAACGAAACGGUCCUGGUUAAUACCCGGGGCUAAUGACGGUACCGUAAGAAUAAGCACCGGCUAACUACGUGCCAGCCGCCGCCGUAAGAC
rnacentral:rRNA from 1 species